CACGUGUGCAACCAACCCCGUACCGGGAGAUAACCCGCGGAAACGUGGACUAACACCCCAUAACACCUUUCCCCCGCAUGGGGGAGAGUUUAAAAUCACGAUGGUACGGGACGGGCACGCGCGACAUUAGGUAGUUGGCGGGGUAACGGCCCACCAAGCCGACGAUGUCUAGGGGUUCUGAGAGGAAGGUCCCCCACACUGGAACUGAGACACGGUCCAGACUCCUACGGGAGGCAGCAGUGAGGAAUAUUGGUCAAUGGGCGAGAGCCUGAACCAGCCAAGUCGCGUGAGGGAAGAAUGGUCUAUGGCCUGUAAACCUCUUUUGUCAAGGAAGAAUAAGCGGCACGAGUGCCACCUUGCCAGUACUUGACGAAUAAGCAUCGGCUAACUCCGUGCCAGCAGCCGCGGUAAUACGGGGGAUGCGAGCGUUAUCCGGAUUUAUUGGGUUUAAAGGGCGCGUAGGCGGGACGUCAAGUCAGCGGUAAAAGACUGCAGCUAAACUGUAGCACGCCGUUGAAACUGUCGACCUGGAGACGAGACGAGGGAGGCGGAACAAGUGAAGUAGCGGUGAAAUGCAUAGAUAUCACUUGGAACCCCGAUAGCGAAGGCAGCUUCCCAGGCUCGAUCUGACGCUGAUGCGCGAGAGCGUGGGUAGCGAACAGGAUUAGAUACCCUGGUAGUCCACGCCGUAAACGAUGCUCACUGGAUCUUGGCGAUACACGGCCAGGGUUCAAGCGAAAGUAUUAAGUGAGCCACCUGGGGAGUACGUCGGCAACGAUGAAACUCAAAGGAAUUGACGGGGGCCCGCACAAGCGGAGGAACAUGUGGUUUAAUUCGAUGAUACGCGAGGAACCUUACCCGGGUUUAAAUGCAGGUUGCAUGAGGUGGAAACACCUCUUUCCCUCGGGACUACCUGCAAGGUGCUGCAUGGUUGUCGUCAGCUCGUGCCGUGAGGUGUCGGGUUAAGUCCCAUAACGAGCGCAACCCCUAUCGCCAGUUGCCAUCGGUUCAAGCCGGGCACUCUGUCGAGACUGCCACCGUAAGGUGCGAGGAAGGCGGGGAUGACGUCAAAUCAGCACGGCCCUUACACCCGGGGCGACACACGUGUUACAAUGGCCGGUACAGAGGGCAGCCACGGGGUGACCCGGAGCGAAUCUCUAAAGCCGGUCGUAGUUCGGACUGGAGUCUGCAACCCGACUCCACGAAGUUGGAUUCGCUAGUAAUCGCGCAUCAGC
rnacentral:rRNA from 1 species